rnacentral:miRNA from 1 species
AAAACUGCAUCUGGAUUGACA